GUGUAAAUGUAAUUUUACUCCAUGAUACUUCAGUUGCACUAGAACUAUAGAGAACUAUCCAGAUCCAUUCUAUUUACAGAAUAGAGUAAUCAACAUAAAUGUCUCAUAAUUCUCUCUUUAUAUUCUUUCUGCAAAUCCUCUUCUUUGAUUUUUCUCCUCUCUUUUAUGUUCAGAAUUCAUCUAUCUUUCUACUUUUCUAGCCUUCUCCCAACCAUUUUGUCUUCUCAGUUCUCCCAAAAAUCUCUCUUUUAAUUUCUAAUUUCCAAUUUCUGGUGAGCUCUUCAUUGAUUUCUUGGUUUUCUCUCAAUUUUUAUUAAUUUUAUUUUGAAUUCAAUAAGCUAUGUGCACUAGAGUGACAAACUGACGAUAAGGAUCAAGUACGAGGAAUAAUUCUUAAUUCUAUACUCCAUUGAAAAGAAUAUGAGGUUCCUAGCUAACUUCAUCAUGGAGGCUAGAAUAUAUUAUUAUCAAGAAAAGCAAGAUUCAUAAUCAAAUACAAUAGCAUACCCAGUGAAAGCAGGGGGAGCUGAAAUCAUAUAGCCCAUGGGUGGAUUUAAGAUGACAGAGCUAUACAAUACCAGGUUAAAGGUUUUAAAUGCAUGCUAAACCAGAUUCUCUUUCCCGACAUGGUAUACAUUUAUUUUUAUGGAUGUGGUUGCAUAUGGUUAUUUACUUUGGUUUUGAAUAAUGAAAUUAUUUUAUCCUUACUCCUGAGUACAUGCUACCGUUCACCUACAAAUCCGUCUUCGUGCCCUGUAUCCCAUAUGAUGCAAGAAUCGACGAUACAACUCCUCUUGCUCAGUGACUACUUUGAGAACAAUUUUAAGUUGGAGAAAAGUGCUUUAGGUUCAAGAAGAGGCUAGGGUUUUCUUCAAAGCAAUCAAUUAAGGCUCUUAAAGAUGGUUUCUCUUGGUCUUCCUUGUUUUCUAAGGAAUCGGCCAUACUCCUCUUCCUGCUCAGUGACUUGGUCUUCAAGAACAGUUUUGAGUUGGACUAAAGUGGUGAGCUUCCACACUCCGAAAGACUCCAUUUCAUACUAUAGUCUUCUUUUCAUAUUUUAGUUUAUUUUUUGGACUUUGGUUUUGGCUAUGGUCGGGGGCAUAUCCCGAUCGGAUGUUCUUGGAUUUCAGUUAGAAGCUUUGUGUGACUACUAUAGGCAUGGACGAUUUCCGUAUUGGUGUCAACCUUGGCAUUGGUAUUAGGACUGAUAAAAUUGGGAUGCUUGGUUGGAUGUUUGGAUAGUUGUGGUUUUGAGCUUUAUUAAAUGUCUUUCAAUUAUAAUUGUUCUCUUUUGUUAUAUAUUUGAAAUUCAUCCAAUAUAGGGUACAGGGUAGUUAUGGUUGGGUUUUGGGGACGGUCUCCAGUCCGAGCCGGACUUGAGAUGCCCAACACGACUAGGCCCUAGUUCGGAUUGUGUCGACUUAUUUCUUAUAUAGAUGCAUACAAAAUCUGUACUUUUAGUGGAAUAGUAUGAUAGAAAAUAUACCUCCUUAUUCUGAUUGUCUAAACUUUAUGAGAGAGUAAUUGUAACAAACAAUGUUGUAAUC